UGGGGAAUAUUGCACAAUGGGCGCAAGCCUGAUGCAGCCAUGCCGCGUGUAUGAAGAAGGCCUUCGGGUUGUAAAGUACUUUCAGCGAGGAGGAAGGCAUAAAGGUUAAUAACCUUUGUGAUUGACGUUACUCGCAGAAGAAGCACCGGCUAACUCCGUGCCAGCAGCCGCGGUAAUACGGAGGGUGCAAGCGUUAAUCGGAAUUACUGGGCGUAAAGCGCACGCAGGCGGUUUGUCAAGUCGGAUGUGAAAUCCCCGGGCUCAACCUGGGAACUGCAUUCGAAACGGGCAAGCUAGAGUCUUGUAGAGGGGGGUAGAAUUCCAGGUGUAGCGGUGAAAUGCGUAGAGAUCUGGAGGAAUACCGGUGGCGAAGGCGGCCCCCUGGACAAAGACUGACGCUCAGGUGCGAAAGCGUGGGGAGCAAACAGG
rnacentral:rRNA from 1 species